UGAGUGUGUGUGUUUACUAUAAAAUGAGGCUUAGACACCUUCAUUUCUCACUCACAAAAUCUGCCAUCAUCUUCCUCUUCUUCCCCUCUCUCUCUCUCUCUCUCAAUCUUGAUCUCUAUAUCCCUUUCUAUCUCCCUUAGAUUGAAUAACCACCAUUUCCACCACCUACUGUUGUCACAAGCUCCUCCGUCCAGCACCAAUCUUGCACCAUCACUACCAUAUUGGUGCCACCGUAUGUCCUCCAUUGCUAAGAUUAUUAUUAUUAUUAUUAUUAUUAUUAUUAUUAUUUUCCUAUGUUGUUCGAACUCACUAGGGAAGCAAGGCAAAUUCAUGUGUUUUCUUUUUUUAAAACCUCAUGCACAUAUGUGAUGUAUUUUCGAUCAGUAGCCAAAAGAAAGAAGCCAUUCAUUUCUUUUAUUAGCCAUACAUACAAAUUGUUUGUUUGAUCAGUAAAAUCUGAAAAUAAAGCUCAAACUUCCAUUUAUUUUAUUGAAAACAAACCCUCAAGUUGUGUUUAGUUUACAAAAGUAGCCCAUUCUUAUUUCUUAAUUUACAAACAACAUAUAUAUUUAUAUAUGUAAAUACGAAAGAAACAUAUAUACAUAUUUUUCUUUUUUCCUUUUUCUUUUCCAAACUUCCAUUUCAAUUAACUACAUAUAGUCCUUAUAGUAAUUCAAAAUAAUUAAAAGCCCCCUCCAUGGAAUUUCAUCGCAAAAUAAGUCCAAGAUGCAAACUUGGAAUUUAUAUAAUUCAUUUUAGCCAUUAAUUUGAAAAGUAUUGACAAACAUAACACCAUUUGAUUUAUUAAAUUAGUAAAUGGACCCCAUACCUUGGUUAAUUACCAAACUACCCUCCAAAUAUUAAUUAUAUUAAUAUUUCCUUAGGAAACUAAAUUUUCUCGGAGAUUCAUAUUCACGGAAAUACUACUCGACCUCCUCGCAUCCAUUCCAGAACACUAAUCGUCUAUCGAACGUUAAGGUGAGUGCAUAGUUACUUUCAGCUUACACAUAGAUAUGAAGUAUUUUAUAUAAAUUACGUGCUAUAUGUGCAUAUUAUCUGAAUACUUGCUAUCUAUGCUAGAUGAACAUUGUUAUACAUGUUUUCAAUGAUUUAAACUGUAUAUGUAUUUUAUAUCUACGAAAAUGUUGGGGUAAAACAUGGGUAGAUGUAAUAGCUGAUGUGUGAUAAAAUGAUGAGAGGCCUCGAUGUUGAUGUUGUUGUUUCUGUCAUCUAGCGGAGUAUGGAUGACGACCACGGACUCUUCUAGACAGUCCAGUGGAACACUAGCAGGCUCGCAACCUGUAGGUGUUUGUGAACGACGUGUUCACCGGUGUACUCCAUCCCCCACAUGGUUGCCUUUAGGACAUUUAUUGCUGAGGAAUCCCCUUAGCAGUAGUGUCCGUCCCGAUGAUGAUCCUUAGGCUAGGUCCCUUAUGAUAGGUGUUUAGGGACGUAAAGUGAGGAUAACGGGAACGGGUAAUCGGGUUAUUGUUGAUUGAAUUAAUAAACUUAUUUAUUGUGGGUUGAAAACCCUAUGUGCUCACCAGGCUCCCAAGCCUGACCCACUCAGUUUUAUGUAUUACAGGUAGUGGCGCAUGAGCAUAGGUGUGAUGUUUUGGACGAGGGAUUACGGAUAUAGGCCUGUAGAUAUGAAAUAAUGUAGUAAGGCUUAUAUUGUACUGUUUAUGCUUUUGAUCUGUACGAACAUGACAUCCCGAGUCUUUUAAUGAAAUACAUUUCUAUGGAAAUGCUUUUGAUAAAUCUUUAUCAUAUUUUUGUUUUGGGACAAAUUCCGCAACACUUUCAUUUAAAAUGUAACUCUGAUUUUUAAACAAAGCAUAAACAAACCGGUCUUUUCUGGCCGUGAUUUUGGGGAUGUCACAGUUGGUAUCAGAGCAUUAGUUUAAGCGAACUAGGAAUUUGUAGGAUUUCUAGACUUAAACUUAGAAUGCUAAGCGAUGAUUGUGAGGUGUGAGCACUAGCUUAUUUUAGGAAUUGUGCCUAAAAUGCUUUUAUGUGCUAAAUGCUUUGUGCAUAAUAUGCUGUUAAUUGUUCGGAUCUAUGGUCUGUUGCCGACCGGAUCUGGAAACCUUAUGUGUUUAGGAUUCUAAACGUACGACUACGAUAUUAGAACUAGCAUGUAAACGUUUCGGAGUGAUAAGGACGAUUUAAAACGUCUAUCCUAAAUAAAGAUCUAAAUUCACCUUAUUCGGUGUAUAGAUCAAGAUGGCAAGGACCCGUAGCGGAAACGUGAACGCAAAUGGAGGUAGGAACCAACCCCCAGUGGUUCAGCAAAUACCUGUUGUUGAAGAAGUUGCACCUGAGCCAGUCACCAUGGCUGGAGUUCAAGCCAUGAUUCAGGCUAUGCUAGCUGAACAAAGGGAAGAAAUGAGACGGAUGCUCCACGAAAAUAGGGACGAACCUACCAUACAUGUUGAACCGACGGAGCCAGUUCCCGAGCCAUCUGAGGAAGGGAACUAUAGCCGCCAAGUGAGUCAAGUAGGGACUCAAGGUGAGCAAAAGGAUGGCCCAGAAGGGAGAAACAACAAGGAUGGGCGGAUGUACAAAAAUUUCUUGGGUGCGAAACCACCAAGUCUCUCAGGAAGCCCAAAGCCUGUUGAGAUUAUGGACUGGAUCUCCGAGAUGGAGAUGGUGUUUGAGAGCUGCGACUGCAGCGAGAAGCAGAAGACUGUCUUCGCUGUGAGACAAUUGAAAACUGGAGUCUUGAGCUGGUGGAAGCUAUUGGCAGAUACAAUGCCACGGGGAGAAGCUCUGAAAAUGUCAUGGGAUGAGUUCUUGGAACAACUGAAGGCGCAGUACUGUUCAGAGAUAGACCUGAUUGAUCUGAACAAUGAGUUCCAAAAUUUGAAGAAGGGGAGAAUGAGCAUCGAUGACUAUGCUGCUGCAUUUACGGAAAAGAUGAAGUUGUUUCCAUACCUAGUGCCAACCGAACUUUCCAAAAUUGAGAAAUUCGCAAACGGACUGCCGGCUGACUUUGGCCCAACAGUCAAGAUGGCAACCACUCUGAAAUCAGCUGUUCGAGCAGCUAAGAACGUGGAGACCCAACAAAAGGAAAGAGGUCUGGAGAGGGCUGAGGUUGGUGAGAAACGGAAGUUCAAUGGAUCCUCGAAGUCCAACAAGAAGAGUAGAUUCUCGAAGUCUGGUUCGAGGGGAGGAGGAUCAGAAGCGAAGUGGUGUGACAAGUGCAAGAAGAAGCACUCUGGGAAGUGUGACGGAGGGGUCACUUGUUACAAGUGCGGAAAGCCUGGGCACUACGCCAAUGAAUGCACCCUCAACCAGAAAGCCUGUUAUGGGUGCAAUGAAGAAGGGCACAUUUUGAAGGACUGCCCGAAGAAGAAGGAGACAGGAAGACCCAACAUACCACCGAAGCCGAAGGCGAGAGCCUUCCAGAUGACGCUCGAGGCUGCAAAGGAGGCAGCAGACGUCGCUUCAGGUACCUUUCUUGUAAAUGGUUUGCCUGCAAAUAUACUAUUUGAUUCCGGAGCCAACUACUCCUUUGUGUCGCAUAAAUUUGGUGGGAAAUUAGCAUUGCCUGUAGAAAAACUAGAUAAUGCCCUGAUUGUAGAAGUUGCCAGUGGCAAAUUCGUACCUGUUAGUAAUCGUAUUAGGAACAUCGUCAUUGACCUAAACGGAAACGAAUUCCACGAAGAGCUAUUACCCAUAGAGUUAAACGGUUUCGACAUCGUUUUGGGUAUGGAUUGGCUUAGCGCCAACGAUGCUGAGAUUCAAUGCCGAAAGAAGAUAGUAAAGGUAAACCCACCCGGAAAAGAAUCAUUUAUGGUGUAUGGGGACAAACGCAGAGUGAAUUCUGGAAUCAUCUCCCUGAUGAAAGCCAGGAAAUGUUUGUCCAAAGGAUGUGCAUCAUACUUGGCAUUCGUAAUCGAUGCCAAGAAGGAGAAGAAAGAGGUGCAGAAUAUACCGGUUGUGUGUGAUUAUCCGGAAGUCUUUCCCGAAGAUCUUCCCGGAUUACCACCUGAUAGGCAAGUGGAGUUUCGUAUAGACUUGUUACCAGGAACAACACCGAUAGCAAAGGCACCUUACCGAUUAGCACCGACGGAGAUGAAGGAGCUCAUGACGCAACUUCAGGAGCUGUUGGACAACGGUUUUAUUCGACCUAGUUCAUCACCCUGGGGAGCUCCGGUGUUAUUCGUGAAGAAGAAGGACGGAAGUAUGAGAAUGUGUAUAGACUACCGAGAGCUGAAUAAGGCAACGGUGAAGAACAAGUAUCCAUUGCCGAGGAUUGAUGACCUAUUCGAUCAGCUGCAAGGUUCGAGCUACUUCUCAAAGAUCGAUCUUAGGUCAGGAUAUCAUCAGCUAAAGGUGAGAAAGCAGGAUAUUGAGAAGACUGCAUUCAGAACGAGAUAUGGACACUACGAGUUCUUGGUUAUGUCAUUCGGGCUAACCAAUGCUCCCGCAGCAUUCAUGGAUUUGAUGAAUAGGGUUUGUAAACCAUUCCUCGAUAAAUCCGUGAUAGUGUUCAUCGACGACAUUCUCAUCUACUCGAAAAGCCAAGAGGAGCAUGGCAAGCAUCUACGGGAAGUAUUAGAAGUGUUGAAGAAGGAGAAGCUUUUUGCAAAGUUCUCCAAAUGCGACUUUUGGAUACGGGAAGUCCAAUUCUUGGGUCAUGUUGUUAACCAGGAGGGAAUAAUGGUUGACCCCGCAAAGAUCGAGGCUGUAAUGAAGUGGGAACGUCCAAAGAGUCCCACGGAGAUUCGAAGCUUUCUAGGAUUAGCCGGAUAUUAUCGACGAUUUAUCCAAGGCUUUUCUUCGAUAGCUGCUCCAUUAACAGCUUUGACUCAUAAAGGAGCUACGUAUACGUGGAGUGAGAAACACGAUGAGGCAUUCGAGAAGCUAAAGAAGAAGUUAUGUGAAGCACCGAUACUUUCUCUACCCGAUGGAGUCGAAGAUUUCGCGGUUUAUAGUGACGCUUCUGGAGUCGGGUUGGGUUGUGUUCUGACCCAAAGAGAAAAGGUGAUAGCAUACGCAUCUCGACAAUUGAAAGAGCACGAAAAGAACUACCCCACUCAUGAUCUGGAGUUGGCAGCGGUAGUUUUUGCCUUAAAGAUAUGGAGGCAUUACCUCUACGGCACGAAGUGCAAGCUCUUCACUGAUCAUAAGAGUCUCCAGUAUCUCUUUAAUCAGAAGGAGUUGAACAUGAGGCAACGACGCUGGCUAGAACUUCUCAAGGACUACGACUGUGAGAUACUUUACCACCCAGGUAAAGCAAAUAUUGUUGCUGAUGCUCUCAGUCGGAAAGUCAAUCUGGAAAGGAAAAGGCCAAGAGCGUUAAGAAUUGAAGUCGUCUCGACGAUUGUGGAAAGUAUCAGGAAAGCUCAAGAAGAAGCUUUAGAGAAAAAUGACCGAAAGGAAGAACGUUUGGGAAGAACGUUAGUGUUUGGUACAAACAGUCGAGGACUGAAGGUAUUCCAAGAUCGAAUUUGGGUACCUAAGACGGGAGGAAUAAGAGAUCUUCUGAUGGAAGAAGCACACAAGACCAUGUACUCGAUUCAUCCCGGUAGCACUAAAAUGUAUAGGGACCUAAAACCCUACUACUGGUGGCCGACGAUGAAGCUCGAUGUUGCGAAGUAUGUGGCCGAGUGCGUAACAUGUGCGAGGGUUAAGGCACAACAUCAGAAACCGUAUGGGAGUUUAGAACCUUUACCUGUACCCAUGGGUAAAUGGGAAGACAUCACCAUGGAUUUUGUGACUAAACUGCCCAGGACGAAGAACGGUCACGACAUGAUUUGGGUAGUCGUGGAUCGUUUCACCAAGAGUGCACACUUCAUAGCAGCCAACGAGAAGUGGUCUAUGGAUAAGCUCGCAAAUGCUUACGUGAAGGAAAUUGUAAGACUUCACGGUGUCCCUCUUACGAUUGUAUCAGAUCGUGAUAGUCGUUUCACGUCAAGGUUUUGGAGGAGUCUACAAGAGGAGUUAGGUACAAAGUUGUGUUUGAGUACUGCUUAUCAUCCGCAAACUGAUGGUCAGAGCGAAAGAACGAUUCAGACGCUGGAAGAUAUGCUGAGAGCAUGUACCCUCGAAUUCCAAGGGAAUUGGGACGAGCACUUACCUCUGGUAGAAUUUUCCUACAACAAUAGUUUUCACUCGAGCAUCAAGAUGGCUCCUUAUCAAGCCUUGUAUGGGCAGAAGUGUCGUACGCCGUCUUGUUGGCUUGAAGCCGGAGAGAAGCAGUUUAUGGGCCCCGAGAUAGUCCAUGAGACUGCUGAGAAGUUGAAGGUGAUUAGGGAAAGGAUGUUAGCAGCCCAGGAUCGUCAGAAGAGCUAUGCUGACAAGAAAAGACGACCGAUAACUUUCGAAGUUGGGGAUUCCGUUUUGCUUAAAGUCUCACCGUGGAAGGGACUUAUACGAUUUGGGAAACGAGGAAAGUUGAGUCCAAGGUUUAUUGGACCGUUCAAAGUUCUUCAGAAGAUAGGGAACCAAGCUUACAAGCUGGAAUUGCCCGAAGAACUCAAUGGUAUUCAUAACACCUUCCAUGUGUGUUAUUUGAGGAAAUUCACGGGAGAUGUUCCCGACAUAAUUCCAAUCUCAGAGUUAAGGAUGGAUGAAAAUAAAAGGUUGAUCGAAGAGCCUGAGGCAAUUGUUGACCGUAAGACUAAGAAGUUACGACGCAAGAUGGUCGACUUGGUGCUAGUCCGAUGGAAACAUUCGAAUGGGCCGAAUCUCACUUGGGAAACAGAGGAUGACAUGAUGAGUCGCUAUCCACAUCUGUUUGCUGAUGCAUGAUUCCGGGACGGAAUCAUCCUAAGGGGGAGAGAAUUGUAACGCCCGGGUUUCAGGGCUAAGCAUUUUUGUCAAUGUAAUAGUCUAGGUCAACUCUUGUAACUCUUUUUGAAGUAAUAAAGAUGAAAUAUUUGAGUAUUAUGUGAAUUAUAUGUGUUUAUUAUUUAAUUAUAAAUGUAUAAUUAAUAAAGAAUAAAAAUGAGCGUCAAAAUUAAAGUGUGAGAUAAUCCCGAUAUCUCUACAUAAAGUUGUAGAAUAUGUCUCAAGGUUUCCGUGCAUAUAAGGAACGCCGAAAUCCGAGUUAUAACGAAGAAGUUAUGACCCGUCGAAGUUUCACGACAGAACCGGCACGAUACCGGGAAGCGUGAAUAGUGAAUUUACGAUAGAGCGAGAUUUAGCCUUAGUGAUCUAAACGAAAGUCGUAGAAUAUGUUAAACUAAGAACAUCGAUAAAAAGAACGCCCAAAUCUGACUUCGUAUGAAGAAGUUAUGAGAUUUUAAACAGACCAAUCCUGUCCCGGCUUGUUAAAAAUAUAACUUUAAAAAUAAAGUCAAAAUUAGCCGACGGAGUCUAAACGAAAGUUGUAGAGUACGUCUUCACCUACGCGUGGAUAUAAAGAACGUCAAAAACGGAGUUCGUAUGAACGAGUUACAAAUUAUAAUAGCAUAUUUACGUAUUAAAAUAAAGUAUAAAUCAUGUAUACGUACACAUAUAUAUACAUAUGUAUAUAUCAUUAGAAAGGUAUCGACGAUGCGGUCAUUAUAAGACUAAUGUUGAGUUCUUUCGACAUUAGUUUAGUACAAAUAUCAUUAAAUCCAUUUAUAAUAGUAUUAUAGAGGGGUGUUUAGUUGUUUAUAUAACUAAAAGGUCAUUAAGUAAUUAUGGAGGGUAGUUUUUGAAAAUUCAAUUAGUAUAAAUAAGAGCCUUGGGCUCUCAUAUUUCUUGCACCAUUCUCUUGAUUCAAGAGUCUUUCUCUCCUUAUCCCCCGAGCAUUUCGGUCCCUCGUGAUUCGACUUCUCUUUCUGUAGCUUAGUAUAGUAAGGUGAGCGCUGAAGCGCUGCACGAAUCUUUCUUAGAAAGAUUCAGCGACGAAGUUCUGCCCCUGCAGAGCCCGACUCCUAGCUAAAACCCCCUUGUAAGUAAGUUAUGCUUACCUUAUUUUAAUAUAGCUUAUAUUUAAAAUUAGUAUUGUUAUUAUGAACUUAUAAUAAAUAUUUGAGCUAUUAUUAUAACUUAUAUAAGUGUCGUUAUAAUAUUUUUUUUAACUACUCGCGGUACGGGGAAUCUGGUUUAAAGGGCCGCAUAGGGUUGUUGGAUUUCAGAAGUGCUAUAUGCCAAAAUGGUCCUGCCCUCCGGUGUUUUAUGUCUGGCCCCUGUCUGUACAUAGUGGUUGGAAAAUAUUGUUUAACGCUUAUAUAAUAAUAAUAAUACUAAGACUAAUAGUUGGUCACGGUAAAUAUUAGACUAAAAUUUAGCGAUAAUAAUGCUAGGUUUCGUCGAAGGAAAAUAGAAUCGUUAGAAGCAAGCGCUGCCCGAUUUUGGAAUCAUCACCUUAACAAGUGAGUGCAUAGUUACUUUCAACUUACACAUAGAUAUGAAGUAUUUUAUAUAAAUUACGUGCUAUGUGUGCAUAUUAUCUGAAUACUUGCUAUCUAUGCUAGAUGAACGUUGUUAUACAUGUUUUCAAUGAUUUAAACUGUAUAUGUAUUUUAUAUCUACGAAAAUGUUGGGGUAAAACAUGGGUAGAUGCAAUAGGUGAUGUGUGAUAAAAUGAUGAGAGGCCUCGAUGUUGAUGUUGUUGUUUCUGUCAUCUAGCGGAGUAUGGAUGACGACCACGGACUCUUCUAGACAGUCCAGUGGAACGCUAGCAGGCUCGCAACCUGUAGGUGUUUGUGAACGAUAUGUUCACCGGUGUACUCCAUCCCCCACAUGGUUGCCUUUAGGACAUUUAUUGCUGAGGAAUCCCCUUAGCAGUAGUGUCCGUCCCGAUGAUGAUCCUUAGGCUAGGUCCCUUAUGAUAGGUGUUUAGGGACGUAAAGUGAGGAUAACGGGAACGGGUAAUCGGGUUAUUGUUGAUUGAAUUAAUAAACUUAUUUAUUGUGGGUUGAAAACCCUGUGUGCUCACCAGGCUCCCAAGCCUGACCCACUUAGUUUUAUGUAUUACAGGUAGUGGCGCAUGAGCAUAGGUGUGAUGUUUUGGACGAGGGAUUACGGAUAUAGGCCUGUAGAUAUGAAAUAAUGUAGUAAGGCUUAUAUUGUACUGUUUAUGCUUUUGAUCUGUACGAACAUGACAUCCCGAGUCUUUUAAUGAAAUACAUUUCUAUGGAAAUGCUUUUGAUAAAUCUUUAUCAUAUUUUUGUUUUGGGACAAAUUCCGC
rnacentral:lncRNA from 1 species